rnacentral:rRNA from 1 species
AGUAAACGCUGGCGGUAGGCCUAACACAUGCAAGUCGAACGGAAGCACAGUAAGAGCUUGCUCUUACGGGUGGCGAGUGGCGGACGGGUGAGGAAUACAUCGGAAUCUACUUUUUCGUGGGGGAUAACGUAGGGAAACUUACGCUAAUACCGCAUACGACCUACGGGUGAAAGCAGGGGAUCUUCGGACCUUGCGCGAUUGAAUGAGCCGAUGUCGGAUUAGCUAGUUGGCGGGGUAAAGGCCCACCAAGGCGACGAUCCGUAGCUGGUCUGAGAGGAUGAUCAGCCACGCUGGAACUGAGACACGGUCCAGACUCCUACGGGAGGCAGCAGUGGGGAAUAUUGGACAAUGGGCGCAAGCCUGAUCCAGCCAUACCGCGUGGGUGAAGAAGGCCUUCGGGUUGUAAAGCCCUUUUGUUGGGAAAGAAAAGCAGCAGGUUAAUACCCCGCUGUUCUGACGGUACCCAAAGAAUAAGCACCGGCUAACUUCGUG